rnacentral:lncRNA from 1 species
CCUCUCCAAUAAUACAUACAACGGCUGCACUAGCUGACCAACUUGAUCCUCGGGAGGAACAUUUUGCUCAUGUUAUGGCAUCUCUGCAUCAUCCCCCAUGCCAUUUGCAUGUUGAUUUCCUUGCAUCUGCGGAAUACCCUGCAUAGCCUGUGCCACGGCCUGCGUAACUGCCUCAUUCACCAUUGCUGCUACCAUAACCGGGGUUAUUGUUGCAUUACCCUAGGCCCCAUCAUUUCCACCCUGGUUAACAGCCUCAACCUGGGAUUGCCUCUGACCCCUCCUACCGUUAUUACCCUGCCUCCCAGCAAUUCUCGAAGACUUACGAGCCAUCUAUGAUACAAAUCAACAAAUAAGAACAAACAAAUCAAAACAAAUAAUCGAAGCCAAAAUUAUUCAGAACGAAGAUCAAAAGCAACACAACACUAUAAUAAAAUCUUAUAACUACCCAGUGAUCUACCCAUAACUCACAGGUCAAGCCUAAAAGGCAAUCUACAAGAUCAUAACCUAAGCUCUGAUACCAACUCUGUAAACCUCAAAUAAAUCUCAAAAUAUCUCCAAAUAAAUUGAACACCAAUUGUCACAUACUCCAAUUUAACUAGAAGGAACUCCACAUUUAUAUAGUCUCUACAAUUAAGAAAUAAUGCCAAAAUGGCCCAAACAUCCAUAUACAAAAUAUUAAGAAAACCAUGUCUAAUAAUAAUCUCAAAAGCUAAUCUACUCAUUUGGAUCAAAGGUAGCUCUCAUCUCACAAAUCCUGAUCACCCCUGAUUACCUGCCGGAAAAAGAACACAGCGUGAGCCAAUUGCCCAGUACGGAUAUGAAGAUGAAUAAAUAUAUCACAAUAAAUAACGAAUCUAAAAGAGUUGAAUGAAUGAACACAUGUGAAUUACAAACGAAUUACGAAUAUAUCACAAUUUGUGAGUCCAUUUACAAAUGUCCAACACUGUCAAUCGAAUAAUUAUAGCCAAAAGAAUCCCAAACAAAUAAGGCUGAAUCAAAUGGUUAUACGGUAAAAAUUUCAUACUGAGCUCAAAUACAAAUAGCCAAAGGCUAACAAAAUACAUCGGUACCAUGAUGUAUACAAAUCAAAUCGGAUAGUACGCACGACACAUAUGUCACUAAUCCACCAAAUAAAUCGAAUCAAAUCAAAUACUGGGUUGACCCAUACGUAUCCUGAACAAAUAUAUCAAAUGGCCAAAGCUCAUACCCACAGCAUAAAAAAGGAUACGCCGUGGACUAAUCACACCGUCACGGAAGGUGUCAUGCCUUUGUGUCAAGAGGACAUGCCUGUGGUACCCCCACAGGUGGUUAGCUCAAGUAUACCCUAAGAAUCAAACUACAAAAUGUAAGCCAAAAAGGGGGGUUCAAAUCACAAGGCUUACAUGACCAUAUUCAAAUGAAAUUGAAUUAUCAAAAACGAACAUACUCAAUAUCACAGGAUAUCAACGAUCAAAACAACUCCUGAAUGUGAACAAAAUUAUACGAAGAAGGAUACAAACGAAUAAAGUCUCCAAAAUACGAAUUUUAAUGUCAACGCCAAAAUAAAACUAUCACAAUAAUUUAGACAUCAAGGAAUAAUCCUGAGAAGCAGUACCAAAUCUCUAAACAAAUAUCAAAACGAACGAAUUAAAUUUAUAAGAGUAUCGCUGAAAAAGUACGGAAUCCGUACCUUAAUAUAGUAUCAAAAUAAUUCGCCGAAUCUAAAUAUCGCCCCCUAAACUCCCUCAAUCCGAUCUUUAAUUUACACCCACAACCCAAUAAAAGAAGAAGGACACUUACUUUAGUUCUUCCCUUCUGAUCAAUCUCCCUUGCCGCCGCCUCCUUCCCUUUUCAGUUCUAUACCCACGAUUUAUUUCAUCAGACUUAAUAAGGUAUAGCUAGGUUUUAAUGAUAUAAUUAUUAAUUAACAUGUUUUAUUAAUUCUUUUAAUUUUAUUAAGAUUUAAAAUGACACAAAUAUAAAUUAGACCCAAUUAAUUAUAAUGGCCCAAAUAAAUUAACUACAGUUUGACCCAAAUAUAAGAAAAGUCCAAUUAAAUAUUUUAAAGCUUACUUGAAUAUUUUAUUAUUAUUUUAUUGGGUAUUACACUCAUACUGCUGGUUGUAGACAUCAUCAGGCCAGAAUGCCAAAACACUAUCCGGUGGAGUAGGUUCAGAUUUUGGCUGAGAAAUAUCCUGCAAUGGGAAUGGAAAGCAUACAAAGGAACAAUAAACAAAUAGAUAAUUCAAUUUGAAAAAAAAAAGGAGUAAUGAAACGAAAUUAGAAAAGAAAACCUUCUGACCCGUCUUCUCAGACUUGCAUAUUUACAAAAUCUUUACAAUUGAUUUGCACAAAUCUUUUUAGGGACAACUGAAUACUUGUAUUUGGAGGGAAAAUACGGGGGAGGCGCGACUGAUUUGGAGAGAAAUUAGAGGGGAGGCGACUGGGAGGGGAGGCGCAAGUGAGGGGAAGCGCAGCUAAGAGGAGGCGCCGCUGAGAGAGUGAGAGGAGUGACGAUUGAAGGAGAUGGGGUCGUGAUUGAGGGAGAUAGGGCACGAAAGAAUGAAUUAUCUAAUCUGAGGGAGUGAAAAUUGAGGGAGAGGGCGGGAGUGAAAAU